rnacentral:rRNA from 1 species
UACGGGGGGGGCAAGCGUUGUUCGGAAUUACUGGGCGUAAAGGGCUCGUAGGCGGCCAACUAAGUCAGACGUGAAAUCCCUCGGCUUAACCGGGGAACUGCGUCUGAUACUGGAUGGCUUGAAUCCGGGAGAGGGAUGCGGAAUUCCAGGUGUAGCGGUGAAAUGCGUAGAUAUCUGGAGGAACACCGGUGGCGAAGGCGGCAUCCUGGACCGAGAUUGACGCUGAUGCGCGAAAGCCAGGGGAGCAAACGGG